CCUACGGGAGGCUGCAGUGGGGAAUAUUGGACAAUGGGGGGAACCCUGAUCCAGCCAUGCCGCGUGUGUGAAGAAGGCCCUCGGGUUGUAAAGCACUUUCAGUGAGGAAGAACGCCUGGUGGUUAAUACCCAUCAGGAAAGACAUCACUCACAGAAGAAGCACCGGCUAACUCCGUGCCAGCAGCCGCGGUAAUACGGAGGGUGCGAGCGUUAAUCGGAAUUACUGGGCGUAAAGCGCGCGUAGGUGGCUCGAUAAGCCGGUUGUGAAAGCCCCGGGCUCAACCUGGGAACGGCAUCCGGAACUGUCAAGCUAGAGUGCAGGAGAGGAAGGUAGAAUUCCCGGUGUAGCGGUGAAAUGCGUAGAGAUCGGGAGGAAUACCAGUGGCGAAGGCGGCCUUCUGGACUGACACUGACACUGAGGUGCGAAAGCGUGGGUAGCAAACAGGAUUAGAUACCCUAGUAGUC
rnacentral:rRNA from 1 species